UACGAAGGGGGCUAGCGUUGCUCGGAAUUACUGGGCGUAAAGCGCACGUAGGCGGCUUCUUAAGUCGGGGGUGAAAUCCUGGAGCUCAACUCCAGAACUGCCCUCGAUACUGGGAAGCUCGAGUUCGGGAGAGGUGAGUGGAACUGCGAGUGUAGAGGUGAAAUUCGUAGAUAUUCGCAAGAACACCAGUGGCGAAGGCGGCUCACUGGCCCGAUACUGACGCUGAGGUGCGAAAGCGUGGGGAGCAAACAGG
rnacentral:rRNA from 1 species